rnacentral:misc_RNA from 1 species
UUAAUCAUUUGUUUCCAGUUCAGACAACAGACUGGUCAUUGCAUAAACACGGCGCCGGGGCGCCGAAGCACAAUCUUCUGUCUUCCACGGGUUUGAAGGGUCGAUGGCCCUAGGGCCAUUCGGUAAUGAUCCCUCCGCAGGUUCACCUACGGAGA